AGUGAACGCUGGCGGUAGGCCUAACACAUGCAAGUCGAACGGCAGCACAGUAAGAGCUUGCUCUUACGGGUGGCGAGUGGCGGACGGGUGAGGAAUACAUCGGAAUCUACUUUUUCGUGGGGGAUAACGUAGGGAAACUUACGCUAAUACCGCAUACGACCUACGGUUGAAAGCAGGGGAUCUUCUGACCUUGCGCGAUUGAAUGAGCCGCUGUCGGAUUAGCUAGUUGGCGGGGUAAAGGCCCACCAAGGCGACGAUCCGUAGCUGGUCUGAGAGGAUGAUAAGCCACACUGGAACUGAGACACGGUCCAGACUCCUACGGGAGGCAGCAGUGGGGAAUAUUGGACAAUGGGCGCAAGCCUGAUCCAGCCAUACCGCGUGGGUGAAGAAGGCCUUCGGGUUGUAAAGACCUUUUGUUGGGAAAGAAAAGCAGCAGGUUAAUACCCCGCUGUUCUGACGGUACCCAAAGAAUAAGCACCGGCUAACUUCGUG
rnacentral:rRNA from 1 species